UGAGGAAUAUUGGUCAAUGGGCGAGAGCCUGAACCAGCCAAGUAGCGUGCAGGAUGACGGCCCUAUGGGUUGUAAACUGCUUUUAUAUGGGAAUAAAGUGAGGGACGUGUCCCUUAUUGCAUGUACCAUACGAAUAAGGACCGGCUAAUUUCGUGCCAGCAGCCGCGGUAAUACGGAAGGUCCAGGCGUUAUCCGGAUUUAUUGGGUUUAAAGGGAGCGUAGGCCGUUUGGUAAGCGUGUUGUGAAAUGUAGGAGCUCAACUUCUAGAUUGCAGCGCGAACUGUCAGACUUGAGUGCGCACAACGUAGGCGGAAUUCAUGGUGUAGCGGUGAAAUGCUUAGAUAUCAUGAAGAACUCCGAUUGCGAAGGCAGCUUACGGGAGCGCAACUGACGCUGAAGCUCGAAGGUGCGGGUAUCGAACAGG
rnacentral:rRNA from 1 species